rnacentral:rRNA from 1 species
UACAGAGGAGCCAAGCGUUGUCCGGAUUGACUGGGCGUAAAGCGCACGCAGGCGGAUGCGCGCGUGGGGUGUGAAAUCUGGCCGCUUAACGGCCAGGCGCCAUCCCAUACGGCACAUCUGGAGGGCUGCAGAGGUCGAUGGAAUUGCCGGUGUAGUGGUGAAAUGCGUAGAGAUCGGCAGGAACACCCAGGGGGAAACAGUCGACUGGGCAG